UGUCGUCCGAGAUCAAACCACGAAUCGUCAAAACUUUCAACAACGGAUCUCUUGGUUCUGGCAUCGAUGAAGAACGCAGCGAAAUGCGAUAAGUAAUGUGAAUUGCAGAAUUCAGUGAAUCAUCGAAUCUUUGAACGCACAUUGCGCCCCUCGGC
rnacentral:rRNA from 1 species